rnacentral:rRNA from 1 species
GAGUUUGAUCCUGGCUCAGAUUGAACGCUGGCGGCAUGCCUUACACAUGCAAGUCGAACGGCAGCACGGGAGCUUGCUCCUGGUGGCGAGUGGCGAACGGGUGAGUAAUGCAUCGGAACGUAUCCUGGAGUGGGGGAUAACGUAGCGAAAGUUACGCUAAUACCGCAUAUUCUGUGAGCAGGAAAGCGGGGGACCUUCGGGCCUCGCGCUCUUGGAGCGGCCGAUGUCGGAUUAGCUAGUUGGUGAGGUAAAGGCUCACCAAGGCGACGAUCCGUAGCAGGUCUGAGAGGAUGAUCUGCCACACUGGAACUGAGACACGGUCCAGACUCCUACGGGAGGCAGCAGUGGGGAAUUUUGGACAAUGGGGGCAACCCUGAUCCAGCCAUGCCGCGUGAGUGAAGAAGGCCUGGUGUAAG